UUAAAUCACCAUUUAAAACUCGAGUGUUUUGUGGCUCUUAAAAACUCGUCAUGUUCACCUUAAAAAAGUCGACGAAUGCAUCCACCUACUACCUAGGAUACUAAUACGAUCAGUCGUCUACAGAAAAUUGUGUUAAAGGUAUUAAACGCUUCAGUGUUUUACAAAAUCUUGCAUAAUUAUACAUUUUUUACCAUAAAAUACCCAAUCAUGGAUCCUAAUAAUUCGAAAAUCUUACCAAGGGAAAGCACCCCACCACCGCCAUAUGCUGAAAGCCCAGGAAUAUUCCCAGCAAGUUUGUUGUACACUAAUGAUCACACGACGCAGCAGCAACAUUUUACACCUGAUUGUAUAAUAAUAGAACAAACUUUGGGUCCAAACCCAGUACACAUGUUUUGUCCGACGUGCUAUAAUAAUAUAAUUACCGAAACCAAUAAAUCACCGUCAAACGAAGCAUAUUUAUGUUGCAUGCUAAUAUUUAUUGUAGGGUGCACAAUAUGUUCAUGUUUACCGUUCUUUAUGAAAUCCUUUCAAAAAGUUGACCACAGAUGUCCUCAGUGUGCGUCUUACUUAGGAACGCAUAAACCAUAAAAACGAAAAUACAUGUAUGUUGCAUACAAACUAUGCUUAAAAACAUACAACUAAUUGAAAUGCAUUGGCAAUUUUACGAUUCUAUUAAAACUUCCAAGUGAAUAUAUCUAUUCAGAUGUAUGGUAAAAAGUUGCUUAUGGCAUUUGAAAAUUGAAUUAGAGAUGUUUAAAAUUCAAAAAAUAUUAACUACCUAUAGUAAUAUACAAUCUGUAUCAUUAAUACAAUAAGAAUAUAUGCUAAGGGUAAUAUGACAGGAAAAAUAAUAUGAUGAAAGGAGCCACCCAUUGAUGACACUUUCUGUUAUAAGGUUUGUAACUACUAUAAGUUAAUAAUUCAUAGUUUCAAAAAACGGAUAUUUCACAGACGUUUUCUAGU